rnacentral:misc_RNA from 1 species
AAAUGCGAUAAGUAAUGUGAAUUGCAGAAUUCAGUGAAUCAUCGAAUCUUUGAACGCACCUUGCGCUCCUUGGUAUUCCUUGGAGCAUGCCUGUUUGAGUAUCAUGAAAUCUUCAAAGUAAAUCUUUUGUUAACUCAAUUGGUUUCUACUUUGGUAUUGGAGGUCUUUGCAGCUUCACACCUGCUCCUCUUUGUUCAUUAGCUGGAUCUCAGUGUUAUGCUUGGUUCCACUCGGCGUGAUAAGUUAUCUAUCGCUGAGGACACUGUAAAAGGUGGCCAAGGUAAAUGCAGAUGAACCGCUUCUAAUAGUCCAUUGACUUGGACAAUACUUUGAUGAUCUGAUCUCAAAUCAGGUAGGACUACCCGCUGAACUUAAGC